rnacentral:tRNA from 1 species
GCGCCGAGUAGGUGAGGUAGCAGGUGCCGUCCUCGUCCCAGGCGAGGUCGGGGUCGAUGCCGUCGACCUCGACGACCGUCCCGUCGCUCCACGGCCCG